AGUUGGAAUCUCUCAAUCCCAGGGCUUCUACUGCAAUGCCACCUCCAUUCUCACAUCUCCACACCUUGUCUUCUCAGGGGCUACUGCAGGGAUUCAGCCCUGAUGUUCCCUGCCUGACCUUCAGAGCCUCCUUUGAAAUCUCAGUGGAACCUCAUGACUCCCGGCUCCUGCAUCCUGUAUUCCUGCAGAACCAGCUCCACGUGGGUGAGGCCCAUGUCUGCCACCAUCUUGAGCUGUCACCAAGCCUCCUGGAACCACAGAUAUACCAUCCUCUGAGUGCCUGCGUGGCUGAGCACAGGGAACUACUUCCUAGGAGCCCCCCAUAAAAGCAGGGUGUCCCUUGGUCUCUUUUCCAAGGAAAUUUUACUUUUCCAUCUUUAAUGGUGAUGUUGGUGUGGGCUUGCCAAUUUCUGAGAUGUCCUCAAGCCAGUUUUUCUAUUGUUCAUGGGCACAGCACUUGUCAUCUCCUGUGCUGAGCACCUGCUGUGGAGAGCCAAGACCUGAGCCAGGAACUGAGCUCCUGACUCCCCUGACCUGUAGGGUCCCACCACCUCCAUCCUUCUGCUCCUGUCCAAGUUCAUGGUUUUAGAUAAAAAGUCACCCCACUUGAUCCCAGAGAGGGUGUCAGGUGUCCUAUGUGCAUGUGGUGAUGUGGGACUCCUUUAAGGGCAAAUGCAGUGUGGGAGGCCUGGCAUGCUGGGGCUGCAGGGGCAGGUCCCUUCCCACCUCAGCAUCCUUGGGAGGAAGGGCCAAGUGUGGCACUGGGGGCUGGAGCCUGGGCACCUCUGGGACACUCUGAAAUGCUCCUCAGCUGCCUCAUCUGCCCUGGCCCAACUCUGAACAUGGAAGCUCUUCCUGGGAGCCCUGGGAGACCCUCAGCAGAUCUGGAAGGGUUUUGCAUGGGAUGCAUGAGGCUAGGUUGGCAGCUCUAGACCAGGAGCCCUCAGCCUCCUGCACCUUUAAAACUGACCUCCCCAGGGUCUACUCAGACCUCUUCUUUUCUCUGGCAAAACCCCAGCUUUUGCAUAUCCUGAGAGUUACACACCUAGAUGCCAGCUCCCUCGAGACCAGUAUGUUUUCUGAAUCCCUGGUGCAGUGUUGGUCUUAUGUACUUAACUAGUUGAACAACUUACUGAGGAGAGGGACCAUUUGAGCUUCCUACAGAAUCUGCCCUAGUGAUGGAUGGAAGAGGAUCAGUUUCAUGAAUCUGGAUUCCACACCCCCAAAUCUCCCAAGUUGCUAUGUUUCAACUCUGCCACUAGAUGGCAAACAACCCCACAAAGAACCCAGCCUAGGGUCCUGACCUCAGAGGCCCUGGGAAAGCAACAGAGAUCCUUCCCAUGAGGAGCCCUAAGGCUUGGGAACUGUGCCCAGUGCCCAGACACAUGGCGGCUGGGGCUCUGUGCACAGUGGACUAAAUCUCCUCACAGCCAAGUUCCUGAGUGUUUUCUAUUUUGCUUUAUACCCUGUGAUCAUCACAACCUGAGAAGAAUGUCCCUCCUCUGAGGACUGAUGGAGUGGGGUCAGAACUAAGGGUCAGCAGUGGGCCUGGAUGAGAGAGAGGACAGGGCCACAGCUCUGAAGUCGGUGCA
rnacentral:lncRNA from 1 species